rnacentral:rRNA from 1 species
UUGAACGCUGGCGGCAUGCCUAACACAUGCAAGUCGAACGGCAGCAUGGUCUAGUUUACUAGAUUGAUGGCGAGUGGCGGACGGGUGAGUAACGCGUAGGAAUAUGCCCUUUGGACUGGGAUAACUUGGGGAAACUCAAGCUAAUGCCGGAUGAUGUCUGAGGACGAAAGCUGGGGACCUUUGGGCCUGGCGUCGAAGGAGUAGCCUGCGUCUGAUUAGCUAGUUGGUGGGGUAAGGGCCUACCAAGGCGACGAUCGGUAGCUGGUCUGAGGGGAUGGACAGCCACACUGGGACUGAGAGACGGCCCAGACUCCUACGGGGGGCAGCAGUGGGGAAUAUUGGACAAUGGGGGGAACCCUGAUCCAGCAAUGCCGCGUGUGUGAAGAAGGCCUGAGGGUUGUAAAGCACUUUAGUUGGGGAGGAGGGUUUAUUGGUUAAGAGCUGAUGAGCUGGACGAUACCCAAGGAAUAAGCACCGGCUAACUCCGUGCCAGCCGCCGCCGUAA